UUUUGGGGGUGAACCAAUGGAAGGAAGACCUUUCUCUCUGUUUCUCUUUCUUUCUGUCUAACUCUACCUAUCCAAAAAAAAACAAAAACAAACAAACAAACAAAAAAAAAACACACUGUGGUAACACAGAGGGAGAGUGUCCGGGGAUGUUGGAAACGUUCCUCUACUCUUCUCCUCUGGUCUCUUCAUGUGCUUUGAUCCAUGCUUGAGAGUGGGUGGCAACUGCUGCAUCAGCCUGGAUGUCUAUAAAGCUUUUUGGAAAUAGUUUUCUAUUUACAACCUUAAAAUUCCGCACUUACUAGAUCUCUCUCUCUCUUUUUUUUUUCGACAGGCAGAGUGGACAGUGAGAGAGAGGGACAGAGAGAAAGGUCUUCCUUUGCCGUUGGUUCACCCACCAAUGGCCGCUGCGGCUGGCGCACCGCGCUGAUCCGAAGGCAGGAGUCAGGUGCUUAUCCUGGUCUCCCAUGGGGUGCAGGGCCCAGAUACUUGGGCCAUCCUCCACUGCACUCCCAGGCCACAGCAGAGAGCUGGCCUGGAAAAGGAGCAACCGGGACAGAAUCCGGCGCCCCGACUGGGACUAGAACCUGGUGUGCCAACGCGGCAAGGCGGAGGAUUACCCUAGUGAGCCUCGGCGCCGGCCCUAGAUCUCUUAAAAACUGCCAUUGACUUCAGAUAGUGCAUCCUUUAGAAGGUGUGGACUGUUUUACCUGACACACAGUCUUUCUCAAGUGAUGAAGAGAAUGUGAUGAUGCCAGUGACGCCCCUUUUGGGACAGUGAAACACUUCUAACCCCUAAGACAUUAAUCCCAAGUGUGUGAACUGAUUAAUUGCAGGAACAAAAAUAUAGAUACAAUCUCUGAAAACAUCCCUACAAGUAGAGAUUGACCACCCAGAAGACUCUUUAUGUUAAAAAGUUUCAGUACAAUUCUUCACAGUUUUGGAAUUUGGCUAUAUUUUUAUUGUAUGUGCUUCAGUGUUCUACUAUCAAGGAAACUCAUCCGGAAAUGAGUUCAUUUCUACAAGUUCCAGAAAUUAAGAUUUUUAAUGAAAAAGAAAUUCAGGUAAUAUAUUUUCUGUGGCAGUAGUUAUCUUUCCUAUUUCCAGGCGAAAUGCCUUUUUGAACUUUUAUUUAGGAUCUAAAAGUAGUAUUUAUUUGCAUUUUACUUAUUGAUUAUAGUUAACAUCUGAACAAUGAAGGAGAAAUUGUUCCAGCUAGUAAAUAUUGAAUUAAACUUGGAGAAACUUUUUUUAAUCUGUUGUGCUUCAUCAUGGUGAAUCUCGUCUAGAUUUUGGUGCAAAUCAAAGUUUUCAAAGUAUCAUGAAGAGGUAAGAUACUUGGCUUUAUAUCUCUGCAGUGAUUUUUGGAUUUUGAAGACUGAUUUAAAACUUAUUUGGCAUAAAUAUGCAUAAAAUAGCUCUGAAGAUUUUCCUUAAAAAUGAAAUUUAGUGAACUGCUAAUGAUUCUAAGGCAAAGUAAGAGUUGUUUAAACUUAUAGGUGAACAUUGGUUUUCACUUGAAAACUGAAGUUAGCUCAUUGAAGCCUUUUGUUGAAGAUGAUCUUAUUGGAAAACUGAGUCUCUAAACAAGAUAAGAAUCGGAGAACUCAGAGGGCUUCCAUAGCCUUGGAAACUCAUGACCGGAGCAUAGGGAGACUACUGAUGCCAUAGACAGGAGUGUCAAUUGGUAAAGUCAACAACAGGAGUCACUGUGCACUUACUCCUCAUGUAGGAUCUCUGUCCUUAAUGUGCUGUGUAUUGAGAUUUAAUGCUAUAACGAGUACUCAACAAUAUAUUUCACUUUGUGUUUCUAUGGGGGUGCAAACUGUUGAAAUCUUUACUUAAUGUAUACUAAACUGAUCCUCUGUCGAAAUAUAGAAAAAUAAACGAAAGAAAUUAUCACUCCCA
rnacentral:lncRNA from 1 species